UCUAUGGCUAAUACAUGCGCACUCGCCUCCUUCUCUGGAGGGGCUGUGUUUAUUAGAUACAAAACCAACCCACUUUGUGGAGUCCUGGUGAUUCAUAGUAACCGAACGGAUCGCAGUUGGCUUCGGCCCGCGAUGGAUCUUUCAAGUUUCUGACCUAUCAGCUUUCGACGGUAGGGUAUUGGCCUACCGUGGCAGUGACGGGUAACGGGGAAUUAGGGUUCGAUUCCGGAGAGGGAGCCUGAGAAACGGCUACCACAUCUAAGGAAGGCAGCAGGCGCGCAAAUUACCCAAUGAAAACAGUUUCGAGGUAGUGACGAGAAAUAACAAUACAGGGCAUUUUAUGCUCUGUAAUUGGAAUGAUGGGAAUGUAAAACCCUUCCAGAGUAACAAUUGGAGGGCAAGUCUGGUGCCAGCAGCCGCGGUAAUUCCAGCUCCAAUAGUGUAUAUUAGAGUUGUUGCAGUUAAAAAGCUCGUAGUUGGAUUUCUGUCGUGGUCAUCCGGCUCCGCCCGUAUGGGUGUGCGCCUGGUUUGCCCUCGGCUUUCUUCCGGUAGCCUUCCGCGCUUCACUGCGUGUGUUGGUGUUCCGGAACUUUUACUUUGAGAAAAAUAGAGUGUUUCAAGCAGGCUUGUCGCCCUGAAUACUUCAGCAUGGAAUAAUAAGAUAGGACCUUGGUUCUAUUUUGUUGGUUUCUAGGACCAAGGUAAUGGUUAAUAGGGACAGUUGGGGGCAUUCGUAUUUAACUGUCAGAGGUGAAAUUCUUAGAUUUGUUAAAGACGAACUACUGCGAAAGCAUUUGCCAAGGAUGUUUUCAUUAAUCAAGAACGACAGUAGGGGGUUUGAAGACGAUUAGAUACCGUCGUAAUCUCUACCAUAAACUAUGCCGACUAGAGAUAGGGAAACGCCUACCUUGGCUUCUCCUGCACCUCAUGAGAAAUCAAAGUCUCUGGGUUCUGGGGGGGA
rnacentral:rRNA from 1 species